GACGAACGCUGGCGGCGUGCUUAACACAUGCAAGUCGAACGGAAAGGCCCUGCUUUUUUGGUGUGCUCGAGUGGCUAACGGGUGAGUAACACGUGAGUAACCUGCCCUUGACUUUGGGAUAACUUCAGGAAACUGGGGCUAAUACCGGAUAGGAGCUCCUUCUGCAUGGUGGGGGUUGGAAAGUUUCGGCGGUUGGGGAUGGUCUCGCGGCUUAUCAGCUUGUUGGUGGGGUAGUGGCUUACCAAGGCUUUGACGGGUAGCCGGCCUGAGAGGGUGACCGGACACAUUGGGACUGAGAUACGGCCCAGACUCCUACGGGAGGCAGCAGUGGGGAAUAUUGCACAAUGGGCGGAAGCCUGAUGCAGCAACGCCGCGUGCGGGGUGACGGCCUUCGGGUUGUAAACCGCUUUCGCCUGUGACGAAGCGUGAGUGACGGUAAUGGGUAAAGAAGCACCGGCUAACUACGUG
rnacentral:rRNA from 1 species